rnacentral:rRNA from 1 species
GGGGAGUGGCGCACGGGUGAGUAACGCGUGGAUAUCUGCCUUUUGGUUCGGAAUAACCCCGGGAAACUGGGGCUAAUACCGGAUGGUUCCUACGGGAUAAAGAUUUAUCGCCAAAAGAUGAGUCCGCGUACGAUUAGCUAGUUGGUGAGGUAAUGGCUCACCAAGGCGACGAUCGUUAGCUGGUCUGAGAGGACGAUCAGCCACACUGGGACUGAGACACGGCCCAGACUCCUACGGGAGGCAGCAGUGGGGAAUAUUGGACAAUGGGGGCAACCCUGAUCCAGCCAUGCCGCGUGAGUGAUGAAGGCCUUCGGGUUGUAAAGCUCUUUUGGCGGGGACGAUGAUGACGGUACCCGCAGAAUAAGCCCCGGCUAACUUCGUGCCAGCAGCCGCGGUAAGACGAAGGGGGCUAGCGUUGUUCGGAAUUACUGGGCGUAAAGCGAGUGUAGGCGGUUGUCCAAGUCAGGUGUGAAAGCCUUGAGCUCAACUCAAGAAAUGCACUUGAUACUGGAUGACUAGAGGACCGGAGAGGAUAGUGGAAUUC